UUACCGUACUCUCCAUGGAAAAAUUGAAGGCAAAAGAGGUCCAGGCAGAAGAAGAACAUCAUGGCUUCAAAACUUAAGGGACUCGUUUGGACAAAGCUCGGCAGCACUUUUUCAUGCAGCUGACAAAAAUAGAAUUGCCGACAUGAUCGCCAAUAUCCGACGAUGGAUAUGGCACAAGAAGGUUAAUCAUAUGUGUGUAUUCACAAAUGCAUCAGGCGUUUCAACGUACCCUUGGAUUAUCAUUAAAUGAAUUGGUCUGUUUUUCACAUAUCAUUGCUGAACAAUUUUUCUGCAUAAAGCUCGUAAGACCCGUCAACAGGCCAUUUCUUUUUCAAAAGAACAAUUUCAGCUUUCUUUCACUUCCAGAAAUCAUAUUUAACCAAGGACAGUAACUUGCUUAGAAAAUGUCUGCAAAACGAAGCUGCAGUGUAUUAUUCAGUAAAAACAGUACAAGAAAACUGGUGUUUUAACUGGCUAAUUAACAGAAAAAGUUGGCUACUUUUAGCUUAUUACUUACCUUUUUAAAAAAAAACCAGUGGAUGUUUUAGCUGGCAUCAAAUUUCUAUUUAAAGGUGUGGGUUUUUUUAAAAAAAUAUUUGGAGUUAAAUUUCUAUUCUGUCUAUAUUUGGAGUUAUUUUAAUUUCUAUUAAAAUGAAUAUUCUGGUAAACUGACACUAGGGGGAAAUAAAGAGCAAUAACAGUG